ACGCUUCGGAAAUGAAUUCCCAAGCAAGAGCUCCUGAUGAAGCCGACAUGACUUCCGCAACAGCGAGGAUGGAAACAGAUGCAAUCUCAAACAGAAUAUGAUGCACAAGACCUGAAACGCAUCUGCACUUUAAGCUGCGACUACAACCACUUCUUGUCUUGCAGG